rnacentral:rRNA from 1 species
AAAUGAAUUGACGGGGCCCCGCACAAGCAGCGGAGCGUGUGGUUUAAUUCGAUGUUACACGAAGAACCUUACCAAGGUUUGACAUGCAAGUGGUAGGAAGCCGAAAGGCCUACGACCCUUCGGGGAGCUUGCACAGGUGCUGCAUGGCUGUCGUCAGCUCGUGUCGUGAGAUGUUCGGUUAAGUCCGCUAACGAGCGCAACCCUCGCUGUGUGUUAUAUGUGUCACAUGGGACUGCCGGUCUUAAGCCGGAGGAAGGUGGGGAUGACGUCAAGUCAGCAUGGCCUUUAUAUCUUGGGCUACACACACGCUACAAUGGCCAACACAAUAGGUUGCUAAGCCGCGAGGUAGAGCCAAUCCUCAAAGUUGGUCUCAGUUCAGAUUGCAGGCUGCAACUCGCCUGCAUGAAGACGGAGUUGCUAGUAACCGCAGGUCAGCUAUACUGCGGUGAAUACGUUCCCGGGGCUUGUACACACCGCCCGU